UGCAGCACUCACAGGAAGAAUAUCUCAGAAUGAACGAUGAUAAAAAGAGAGACAGGUGCAAUGGAUAAAUUCAGUUGUAGUAAUGGUAGAUGGAGCAGAAACACUUUCUGUAUAAUAGAAGGUUUGUACUCAAACAAGAUUAUUAAUCUUCAGAGCCCAAGAGGACUUCAUUAAAUAAGAGCAUCUAAUUUUUUAUGAUGCUUGGGCUCCAAUAUCUUCUUUGGUAAAGUUUCUACAGCUGAAUGCUCUUCCUGUUGCCAAGCAUCAUUUAUUUCAUUUAUUUCAGCCAGAUGGUCACUUUCUCAUGGAAAUACCACCAAGUGAUAAGAAAAAGAACCCUACAAGACAGUGUGCAAAAUGCGCAGAGAAGAGAGACGCUAAAGGAAAGAAGAUUCGAAGAGAAAGCAGAUACAUGUGUGAUGUCUGCAAGAUAACUGUGUGUAACUCCUUGUUUUAAAAAUUUUCUUUUGAUUUAAAAACAAUGCAUCUUAUAAAAAAAUCAAAGAUAGUUAAGUUAUAUGUAUCUUUUUCAAUGUCCG
rnacentral:lncRNA from 1 species